AGAGUUUGAUCCUGGCUCAGGACGAACGCUGGCGGCGUGCUUAACACAUGCAAGUCGAACGAUAUUCUUUAGAAGAUUUUUUCGGAAUGAUUCUUUUGAUGAAAGUGGCGAACGGGUGAGUAACGCGUGGGCAACCUGCCUCAAACAGGGGGACAACACCGGGAAACUGGUGCUAAUACCGCAUAAGACAACAGCAAGGCAUCUUGCAGUUGGAAAAGGAGUUAAAUCCAGUUUGAGAUGGGCCCGCGUCUGAUUAGCUAGUUGGUAAGGUAAUGGCUUACCAAGGCGAUGAUCAGUAGCCGAACUGAGAGGUUGAUCGGCCACAUUGGGACUGAGACACGGCCCAAACUCCUACGGGAGGCAGCAGUGGGGAAUAUUGCACAAUGGGGGAAACCCUGAUGCAGCAACGCCGCGUGAAGGAUGAAGGCCCUUGGGUUGUAAACUUCUUUGAUCAGGGAAGAAAGAAAUGACGNACCUGAAUAACAAGCCACGG
rnacentral:rRNA from 1 species